rnacentral:lncRNA from 1 species
AGCGCAUUUUAGCAACCCCAAGGCCUAAAUGGCGCACCCGAUUGCGGAGGCGAACGAACAAAGCCCCUUCGGCGCGUUGACCCCAGAGGCAUUCUAUUCCCGCCACAACGUCUCUCACGCCUCCGAGUACUUCACAAACCCUAGAGGCCUCAAGCGCUUCACCCAGUGGUGGACCCCGCUCCCUCCGACCGAGAUUGUAGGAACCCUCGCCAUCGUCCACGGCUUCACCGGCGAGACCAGCUGGUUCGUCCAGCUCACCGCCGUCCACUUCGCCAAGUCUGGCUUCGUCGUCUGCGCCAUUGAUCAUCAGGGUCACGGCUUCUCCGAUGGCCUCGCCGCCCACAUCCCCGACAUCAACCCCGUCGUCGACGACUGCAUCUCCUUCUUCGACUCAUUCCGAGCCAAUCACGCGCCGAAGAACCGCCCCUCGUUCCUCUACGCCGAGUCCCUCGGUGGCGCCAUCGCACUCCUCAUGACUUUCCGGCAGGGAAGCGGCGCGUGGGAUGGCCUCAUCCUCAAUGGCGCCAUGUGCGGGAUCAGCCCCAAGUUUAAGCCGCCGUGGCCGCUCGAGCACCUGCUAUUUCUCGUCGCCGCGGUGAUACCGACGUGGCGGGUUGUCCCCAC